CUGUGUGAUCACAGAGGUGCUCUCAGCUUGGAAGCAACCAGGUUUUUGGACCUGUAUCAUUUCUGUUGCACCCUCCAAUGCCAAAAUCACCAAGGAGAGUAUGAGACAAUAGAAAAACUUGAAAUGUGGAAUCCAGAUUGGUUGCUUAAAUCUAAUUAAGGAGCUCUGGGAUUACUCGUCUCCAAACUUUGUUCUUUUGGUCAGACAGCAGGUCAUCAAAUACCUCAUCCCGAGGCCUAAAAAAGUUCACUUCCUUAGCAAACUCCUAGUUUUAAUAAGUGAUAAACAGAGGAUGGGAAAGUAGAUGAAAUGAAGAAUGGCAUACUGCUGAUAAUUUUUGAAGCUGGCUGAU